UACGUAGGGGGCAAGCGUUGUCCGGAAUCAUUGGGCGUAAAGCGCGUGUAGGCGGCUCGAUAAGUCUGCUGUGAAAGUCCAGGGCUCAACCCUGGAAAGCCGGUGGAAACUGUCGAGCUCGAGUCCGGAAGAGGCGAGUGGAAUUCCUGGUGUAGCGGUGAAAUGCGCAGAUAUCAGGAGGAACACCAAUGGCGAAGGCAGCUCGCUGGGACGGUACUGACGCUGAGACGCGAAAGCGUGGGGAGCAAACAGG
rnacentral:rRNA from 1 species